rnacentral:rRNA from 1 species
AGGGUUUGAUUAUGGCUCAGGACGAACGCUGGCGGCGUGCUUAACACAUGCAAGUCGAACGGGAGGAAAAGAGAAGCUUGCUUCUUUUUGAAUCUAGUGGCAAACGGGUGAGUAACACGUAAACAACCUGCCUUCAGGAUGGGGACAACAGACGGAAACGACUGCUAAUACCGAAUGUGUUCCGGAGACCGCAUGAUUUCCGGAAGAAAGGAUGGCCUCUAUUUAUAAGCUAUCGCCUGAAGAGGGGUUUGCGUCUGAUUAGGCAGUUGGUGAGGUAACGGCCCACCAAACCUACGAUCAGUAGCCGGUCUGAGAGGAUGAACGGCCACACUGGAACUGAGACACGGUCCAG